rnacentral:rRNA from 1 species
GAGCGCACCCCUAUCCUUAUUUGCCAGCGCGUUAUGGCGGGAACUCUAAGGAGACUGCCGGUGAUAAACCGGAGGAAGGUGGGGACGACGUCAAGUCAUCAUGGCCCUUACGGGAUGGGCUACACACGUGCUACAAUGGCAGGUACAGAGGGCAGCAAUACCGCGAGGUUGAGCGAAUCCCACAAAGCUUGUCGUAGUCCGGAUCGGAGUCUGCAACUCGACUCCGUGAAGUCGGAAUCGCUAGUAAUCGUAGAUCAGAAUGCUACGGUGAAUACGUUCCCGGGCCUUGCACACACCGCCCGU